rnacentral:misc_RNA from 1 species
GAUGAAGAACGUAGCGAAAUGCGAUACUUGGUGUGAAUUGCAGAAUCCCGUGAACCAUCGAGUCUUUGAACGCAAGUUGCGCCCGAAGCCACUAGGCCGAGGGCACGCCUGCCUGGGCGUCACACGCCGUUGCCCCCCCAUCUACUCCUUCGGGAUUGCGGGGGGGCGGAUGAUGGCCUCCUGUGCGCCUAGCCGCGCGGUUGGCAUAAAUGCCAAGUCCUCGGCGACGCACGCCACGACAAUCGGUGGUUGCGAAACCUCGGUUGCCCGUCGUGUGCGUUCGUCGCGCAUCGAGGGCUCGAAAAAAUGCUCGGCUCCGGCUGGGCUUUCAACGCGACCCCAGGUCAGGCGGGGUUACCCGCUGAAUUUAAGCAUAUCAAUAAGCGGAGGA